rnacentral:tRNA from 1 species
GCUGGGAUAGCUCAGUCAGUAGAGCAUGAGGCUCUUAAUCUCAGAGUUGUGGGUUCGAGCCCCAUAUUGGGCA